UGUCUCCUUUUUCUAAUCAGUGAAACUAAUCUCCCCGUGAAGAAGCGGGGAUAAACCUAUAAGACGAGAAGACCCCAUGGAGCUUUAAACCUAGCCACACCCUUAAUUUNCCUACCAUCUUAUUAANNNNNNCUCUGCCCGCUAAGUUUUAGGUUGGGGUGACCGCGGAGUAAAAUAAAACCUCCGCGAUGAACGAGACUAUCCUCUAAUCUAAGAAGCUCACUUCUAAGAAUUAGUACCCUAACAUAUGUGAUCCGGUAACCGAUCAACGGACCAAGUUACCCUGGGGAUAACAGCGCAAUCCACUUCAAGAGCUCCUAUUAACAAGUGGGUUUACGACCUCGAUGUUGGAUCAGGGUAUCCCGGCGGUGCAACAGCUGCUAACGGUUCGUUUGUUCAACGAUUAAAACCCU
rnacentral:rRNA from 1 species